AGUGAACGCUGGCGGUAGGCCUAACACAUGCAAGUCGAACGGCAGCACAGUAAGAGCUUGCUCUUACGGGUGGCGAGUGGCGGACGGGUGAGGAAUACAUCGGAAUCUACUUUUUCGCGGGGGAUAACGUAGGGAAACUUACGCUAAUACCGCAUACGACCUACGGGUGAAAGCAGGGGAUCUUCGGACCUUGCGCGAUUGAAUGAGCCGAUGUCGGAUUAGCUAGUUGGCGGGGUAAAGGCCCACCAAGGCGACGAUCCGUAGCUGGUCUGAGAGGAUGAUCAGCCACACUGGAACUGAGACACGGUCCAGACUCCUACGGGAGGCAGCAGUGGGGAAUAUUGGACAAUGGGCGCAAGCCUGAUCCAGCCAUACCGCGUGGGUGAAGAAGGCCUUCGGGUUGUAAAGCCCUUUCGUUGGGAAAGAAAAGCAGCAGGUUAAUACCCCGCUGUUCUGACGGUACCCAAAGAAUAAGCACCGGCUAACUUCGUG
rnacentral:rRNA from 1 species